CACGUAGGGUGCGAGCGUUGUCCGGAAUUAUUGGGCGUAAAGAGCUCGUAGGCGGUGUGUCGCGUCGGCCGUGAAAACUUGGGGCUUAACUCUGAGCGUGCGGUCGAUACGGGCAUCACUUGAGUUCGGCAGGGGAGACUGGAAUUCCUGGUGUAGCGGUGAAAUGCGCAGAUAUCAGGAGGAACACCGGUGGCGAAGGCGGGUCUCUGGGCCGAUACUGACGCUGAGGAGCGAAAGCAUGGGGAGCGGACAGG
rnacentral:rRNA from 1 species